CCGCGGCCCUGCGGCGGCAGCAGGGUGAGCUGCGACUUGGGUCGUUAUUUUGGUUUUGUUGUUGUUUUGGUUUAGUCUAGAUACAGUAAACACUGGCAGAAGCUCUGGAGCCAAAGACAAAUCUGUGACAUUGCUGAAGAGUUUCUUCUCUGCAGGACGAUGAGGCGUCGUGAAUUACCGCAGCUGGAGCUGUCAAGGAUUUAGCUCCAAGGAAAGAAAAUGGGGAGCAUGAGUACUUCAAGGGAAACCAUCAGCCCCUGUCUUCAUACAGGUCUGCUCAACACGAAGUGAUACCUACUCUGACUUCUCUGAGCUGAAUUGAUGCUGCAUAUGGUCAUGAUCACUGGGAAUUAAUAACAUUCCCUGAGACACAGAAAAAGGUUACUGAAGAGGAAUUAAUUAAGAAACUGCAAGGAAGGAAAGACUGGACGUUUCUUAAUGAUUGAUAUUCUGAUUAAAGGAGACACAGUAGAUUGAAUCUUUCAGGACUUCACUAUAACAUCUGUGUUGUACCAAGUUGGAAAUUACUUUUUAAACUGAAAGAGAUGGAAAAAUUAAAGGACAAAAAUCCAAACCACACAGUCAAUGACAAACAGAUGCUAGAUUCACUAACUUAAACUGCAGCAAUUCUGUUCCAAGAAUUAGUGAUACAAAGAAUUCUGUGGCCAGAAGUGAAAGGAAUGAACAGUGUGUCCUCUUGAUGAGAAAAUAAGAAUUGUUCCUAAAUUGGAUAGAACAGUGCUACAACAAUGUAUGAUGUGUUAACUCAAACUGUAUUUACAAAGUUAAAAUAGUAGUUGAUUUUGUAUUUUCCUUAUGUAUUCUUAUAGGCUAGCAAAACCCAAGCAUUUAUUUUAAGGGUUACGUAGGUGCGUUCCUUGUGAAUACUGGUGUGUAGGUUAUUUAUGGAUGUACCAAUAAACAACUUUUAAAAGUCAAAAACUUUUUUUCAUAAUGUGUGACCGUUUUUCAAGAUAACAAACUCCUCUCCUGCUCUUUUUACCAAACCUUCAAAUAGUGGAUAUCGUACUGGGUUACAUGGGGAGGUCAAUGAAAAAAGGUGGAAACUAACCUCACUGCAAUGCAAUUAAGUUUGUAUUUGGUUAAAUGUAGUUGUUUUCUGUCCGUACUAAUUCUUCGUUGUCCUUCCAUUGUAGGAUUUUCAAUUUAAAAAUGUUUAGUUGUUUUAUUAGACUAUUACUUGCUGAUCUGUACUGUAAUACUGUGUGAUAUAAUUCUUCACCGGGGAUAUUUAAGUUUCUUAUAUUCAAAAAUAUAUAAUUGGGGCAUAAAUGCUUUGGACUAGAAGCGACACUUAGUAAAAUCAGCUCAUUUUUUUGAGACUAGUGUCUUUAGAAACCUAAAGGAAUGGAGACAAACAGUACUACAUAAUAGAUUCUGAUAAGAUUGGAGGACAUAACCCAACAAUAGCUGAUGAAAAGUUCAAUAACUCGCUUUCUGCAUAUAAUUUGUCUAAAAACAAAGGAGAGAGAUGUGAAGCUAACAUGAUAGCUGAGUAGCUAUAGUUGAAUGUUUUGACUUCACUUCAGUAAAGUUAGUGGGCUACAGAAGUUCCUAAAGAUGAAGAAAGAGCAUAUUUUUCCCAUAUGUUUUUGAAGUUUCAAAUGAACAAUAUAGUAUAUAUCUUUCUGAACUCCCCUCUUUUCUUACCCCAGAGACACUCCUACUGUGACUGAAUUUUUGUUAAUAAUGAAGUUAUUGUUGAAUAUCUUGACAGUUAGCUCUGCACUCCUUUUUUUUCUUUUUCUUUCUUUUUUUUUUUUCCUUAAACCAACACAGCUAGAUAUUCAGCAAUGGAGAGAUUGGAGAGAUUGUGCAAGGGGAAAGUUUGAAGAAAGAUGAGUGAAUUGAUGAGAUUUUAGAUCACACUUUACAUAUAAAUGAACACUUUGUUAAUCUGUAUAAGCUUUCAUAUCAGGAACAUCUUAAAGGGAGCAAAUUCCACAGAUAAAUUCUGCAGUAUGUAAAAAAGUACUUCUGAAGGUACACUUCUGAAAGCACAAGAGGCUUUGCUAGACUGGAGAGGGAGUAAUCCAUGAGUUCUUUCUUUUCAAUUUUAAUAUACCUAGUUUUUCAAAUCUUUCCUAGAAAACAUUCUGCUGACUAACUGGUGCAUAUAGCAAUCUGGGCCUAAUAUAGGGCUUGCUCCAUAUAUAUAUGUGUGUGUAUGUAUGUAUAUAUACAUACAUAACUUAGAUAAUAAUUUAGUUAGCAUUCUUUUUUUAGUUCAUUGGAAAUCUUAAUAUAAAUGAUAUUGUUAGGAUUGACAUGUGAGGACUGAAGCUGAAUAGACUGGUGAUUUUAAAGGACUGACAUUUUGUAUUGUAGCACUCCAGCAUUCAUACGUUGGCAAAGAUGCUUUAUAUAUUCAAAUUCUACAUAAAUUGCAUACAAAAUGAAGUCCUUUCAUAUGUCAGUAUGCCACCUAUGGCUGUAAUUAUAGCAGUGUGCGCACGUCACGUUAAUAACAUGGAGGAAAUCUGAAGUACCACAGGAUUCUCUUCUAUUUGCCAUAAUUGCUGUGAUUAGUAAAAAGGCAGAAAAAGCAUUUUCUUAGUCCAUCCAAAUAUGUUAUACAGUAUUUAAGAAAUGAGAGUUACACAUAGUUGCUUUUCUCAGUAAACUGUGAAGUUCAGCAGGGGUCUUGCUAAAAUGAUGCCUAUAUCCUCUCCCAUUCUGCUUUACAAGUGAAAUCAGGCUCUUUGCCAGGUUGGUAGAGGUCAUAGGAAUGUCCUUGUCAUCACAGAGGUAUUUCUCUAAAGAGUUUUUCUAUUCCUGUAUCAUUUAUUCCCUGAUCCUUUCAAAGACAGUAAAUUGCAGGGUGCAGUCAUGACAUUUGUGAAUGGGCAACUUGCUUUUGUUCUUCCAUCAGGUAUGUGGGUGGGAGAAACAACAAGAUAAGCUGCAGUAAAGUCCUACUGGCUCACUUAAAAAUAAAACCAAAUAAAUAAAUAAAAAUUUUGUAACCAAAGAGAGUUUCCUACAUGUGCUUAUCAUGUUCUGUGUAUGAUUGUGCCAUGUGUAAAUUGCCUUCACUCCUACUCACUGCAAAUGAAAGUUAGCGUAUUAUCCUAACUUAUGAUCGUAUUGAAAUUGAAUUUAUGUGUGAAGAAAAUCUAAUAUGCACUAUCUGAAGUCAUGAAUCCAAUCAUGCAAUUACAUAAGAAUUUUGAGAAGUUUCCAUUUUUAUCACUCUUUUUUUCAUCUUAGCGGUUCUGCUACUCAUUUUUCCUGGGACAUGUACCUGUAGCUGCCAGCAAUUAGUUACUGUCUUGCAAGUGUUCCUUCAUGGUGUAUCUGUUCAAACUGAUUUAAAAUGGUUAUAUCUGAAAAUCCUUGACCUCAGAUCCUUACUCCAGUGUACCAAGUUAUUUAUGGUGUAGAAUGGAAUUAAAAAAAGUUUCAUUUGUUCAUUUAAUCAGGAAGUUCAUCAUAGUUCUGAUUUUGAUGUAUACCAUCAGUCGUGUUAGAAUGACAGGCUGCUUUGAUUUGAGGGCUUCCAAUACCUCUGAGGGCUUUUUCUGUCACACAUACUGUAAUUCUGUAGUAAACAGAGAAUCACUGGAUUAUACCUGUUGUACAGAGUUUCUGCGCAGACCUUGUUUCCCUUUAUUAAGAACCACUGAGAUAUAUACAAUCAAAUUUAAGUCAAAAUGUCAGGAAUUGUUACAAUAAAUGAGAAUAAUAGCAAUAGCUGCUUCUUGAGGUUUUGAGGCAUUAAACUGUGUCAGUGGAUCUUUUUCUGUAUGUGUAUCAGUAAAAUUCUAAUAGGUUUUUAACUACAUGGCUCUGUUAUUUUCACUAUCUCAUUUUAUCAGUUGGCACAAUGUCAGUGUGGGUAGGUGGUAUGGGAAUAAUGCUAAUAAAGAAAUGUUUGGAAAAAGAAAUUGGUUUUGCAAAUUACUUCAAAAGCAGUAAUAGCAUUAAAAACCUG